rnacentral:rRNA from 1 species
UACAGAGGGUGCGAGCGUUAAUCGGAAUUACUGGGCGUAAAGCGCGCGUAGGCGGCUUUGCAAGUCGAGUGUGAAAUCCCCAGGCUUAACCUGGGAACUGCAUUCGAGACUGCAUAGCUAGAGUAUGGGAGAGGGGCGUGGAAUUCCGGGUGUAGUGGUGAAAUGCGUAGAGAUCCGGAGGAACCCCAGAGGCGAAGGCGGCGCCCUGGCUCGCAACUGACGCUCAGACACGACAGCAUGGGGAGCGAACGGG